CUGGAUGAGACAGAUCACCGUAGCGUUGCAUGGUUUGACGAACGCUGUUCCGCCAUGUGAAGCUGGGCCUGCAUGCACACAGGCGCCGAGCACGCAGCCGGGCCGCACAGCGGAGUGGAUGGGAUCGAUCUCGCCGGCGAACAUGUCCUCACCAACGCAUCUGGUACAACCGUACUUUCUUUGUAAUCCUUCGCUUCCCUAGUAGACGAUUGAUCGAUGGGCGUUGCGAAGAAUCUCCGGAACUACGACAUAAAUUGGCCAUAUUUUGAACAAUUUGUGUCUCAUAUCCUCUCAGAGAGCGACGGCUGUAUUUGGUUAAUACGGCAACUUGUGUACGUACCGUAUAUCAUAGAUGGGGCAAUGACCGACUCGUAGAUUAUAAUACCUAGUUCUCAGGAAGGCUUGUACCUUUUAAGGAAAUCCAUAAUCGCCCUAGAUACGUGAACGGCGUUUCUACAACGGGUUCGCACGGUGAUUGGGCUCUUCAGUUUCGCUGUUCGAUACACCCCCAAAUAGCGUAGAGGGUCCAACGUUUUAUAUACCCGCCCACAUACCUGCAGCUCUGCAACAGGUUCUCCUUUAGGCUCUCGGAUCAGGACUUUGCAUUUUUCCUCGUUCAAAUUGAGACCGACAUACGAAAGAUAUUCCUUCAGCCUUGAAAGAAUGAGCUCCAAAUCAUGCUUAGUAUCAACGAUAAUGAUUAAAUCAUCCGCGAAUGCCAAGAUCAUCGGAAGGGUAAAACAAUCAGUCUGGUUCAACCUCAGGUUGGGAACAUCGUCAACAACGGACUCAAGAACAGCCUCCAUGAUUAAAUUGAAAAUGGAUAGAGGACAACCCUGUUUGAUACCCUUGGAGCGACGAAACGGCCUGGUCAGUUGGCCUUUCCACAAUACCUGGAGCUGCUCACCCCUUAGACACUCCAAUAUCCGAUUAAUGAACGGGAUCGGUGCAUCUUUCGCUGAGUAAGGAAAAGAAAAAAAAAGAACAUCAGUGGGUUGUUGUAAGAAUCAAUUAAGUAUUGAAAUACCUCGGAGUAUCACCGGAAGGGAGUCUAAAGUAACCCGAUCAAACGCCUUUUCGAUGUCUAAUGACAUGAGUGUAGGAUUUCUAACAACACAGUAAUAAGCCACAAACAAUUGAAAUCAAUUUUAUUCAUCACUGUAUUUCUUUCUAUUCAAUUUAAAUUCACUGCACAUUAACUCAAACCUUUCUUUCACCAAACCCGUUUCAAAACUGCCAAAGCAAGCACAUUUCCAUUCAUUUCUCCCAGCCGUAGCGUAGGCGAGGCUACAGGUUUCCUUUUCGUUCAUCUAUCUCUUCUCUCGCUGUGACUACCGCUAUCCGCUCGCGUUCUCCGAUGUCACCUGCCGUCAUCUGGAAACGAUUUUCCAGAAUCCACUUUGAUGUUUACGUCUAGCCUUACACGCUACACUGAAGCAAACCUCCGGAAACAUUUCAAAUCAAAUAUAUGUUUAUUUUCAAAUUCACUUAUUCUUCCUACAAUCAGGAGCGUGGAUUCUCCCCCAUAUCAUCUUUCCAGGAGUAUUCUCUGCAGCACAUGAAGAUGAUCUAUAGUGAACCGUUCCGGUAAAAAGGCAGCUUGGUGGUGGUAGCCUAUCGGUGGAAUCUGGUUCUACAGGUUUUCCAAUAUCCAGCUGGCGUUUAUCUUAUAAGCGGUGGAGGUCAAACAGAUCCUGCGGUAGUCGCUGAUGGUCCUGGGAGACUUCACCUUCGGAAUCGGCACAACUAUUACCUGCUUCCAAUCAGAAGGAAGCUUUCUACCCACACUCGCGUAAGCAAUUGAUGAAGCUCUCUUAAAGUAGCCUCAUCACCGUACUUGAAAAAAUAAGCAUACAGUGUAUCGACCCCAGGAGUUUUCCCGUUUUUUAGUCUGCUGCCAAUAACCUGUAUGUCUCGCAGUGUAGAAGCCGGCAGUAGCACGGACGCAGGUGGUUCUUCUAUAGAUUCAGGAAAACUUGAAUCCUCCUCGUCAUCUAAAAUCCAUUCACUCAAUCGAAUUGUUGCAGGUGAUUAUCGGAAGCUUCGUUUUUUAUUGAACCGCUUCAAAUACUGGAAAGUGCGGUUUAUGCGUUCUCCAGCAGAAAACUGUUGAAUGCUCUCGAAGAAUACCUGGAUCUCCUUCUCUUCGUAGUCACGAAUCUUCGAACGCAAAACCUCGCGCGCCUCCGACAAUUUGUGUGCCCACUUAGGAUGCGCAGAGCGAUUGUACCAAAAUAAGUAUUUUUUCACAGCAGCGAAUGCUAGUCGACAAUCUCGGGUGGGAGGGACCGAGAAGGUACUAUGUAGAAUCUCCUUGGCAGUACUUUGCACCUUGGUAUUUAAUAGAUGUCAGGUAUCCUCAACAGUAGCAGGAGGAUUAGCUGGAGGAAUAGUCUCAGACAAUCGAGUUUGAAAUCUCUGUCGUACAUCGGGCCGUUUCAGUAGAGCAGGAUCGAUCACAUGCCUUGACCUAGAUAAAUUUCCAGCUCCAACUGCCGUAGUGUUCUGUGUAGGGUUUGGAAGGCUAGUGUUCGAGUCGACAAUACUACACAAAAGCAGCUUGUGGUCGGUAGGAAGUUCUUGAGGGAAAGUGCAGUGUAGUCGUCUGAGGAAGAAUGCGGACUGAAGAGAUGUGAGUAAAUGAUCAACUUGACUACGAAAUGUUCCGUUAGACCAAGUCCAUUUGAAACCUUGGUUAUCAUUGAACUGAGUCGAGCGAACCGCGAUAGUGUGUAGACAAAGGAAAAGCUUCAUCUGCAAGCCGUUGCUAUUAAAAUGCUCAUGAGCUGCAUACUUCCCGAUAAGACGCGCUUCGUCAGGACUCAAGCGAUUGCACAAGUUCCAGAUAAGUACCUAAUUUCAAACAUUUGAAUGUAACUUUUGUACUGCUAUUGAUACAACAACGCUGCUACGCCAUACAAAGAAUCUUGCGCUCCGUUUUCGUUCGAGACCUACAUUCGACACUUCCUUAUUUCGAUGGACAUAAAUCUGCUUUAAACAGUUAGUCUGAAUGCAUGACCUACUGACAAUGAUAAUCUAAAUAAAACUAUCGAACGAAAAUUCUCCAGUGAAGUGAGGCAAGGAAACGAGCAAAUAUAUCUACAAAAUGUGUGGGUUGGAUGCUGUACCAAUAAAACAGAGGUAGGUACCUACCAAUCUCAUCAGAUUUGCGGAGAGAAAUGCAAUUUCUCAGCCGCGACGACGACCAGAGGCUAAUCCGUUUCCCAACAACGCAAGACAUAUUGCUUUCGAUGGUGUAGAAAAUUCCACGCGCGUAGCGCAAUCUUGUUGGCAAUAAAUCCCAGAGCCUAGAGAACACGCUGCCCACGAGAGGAUCCUGAUCGUGGUCGUAAUCCAAGAGCCGGAACUUUGAAGCUAAGUCUAUCCAGACAAGACAGGCCCAAACAGAACACAAUUGAUAAAUAGAACAAAAGAUCAAUAAACCUCCGGGUUAAGGUGGACAACGGCACCCACGUUCAGGUAAACGAAUUUGCAUGCUGUCUCCUGUGCAAAUAUUUCUUUAUUUCUCGAUGACGUAAUCUCAGUAUGAAUGAUUUAUGAUGUUACGAUAUGAAAAUGAAAUACUAAGACAAUUUAUGCGACAUUAACUAGUGGAUGUCAGUAGCCCGAUCUAGUUUACAGACACCUGAACCGAAACAUUCUUCAAAUUGAAUUUUAAACAAGCAGGAGGUCUUAUUCUCCGCAAAAAAACCUAAUAAACUUUUUUCAGCCGGAUGUUCUAUGUGGUCAGUGCAGGUUUCGUUCCCAAUUUGAAAUCAGAUAUGGCAAGACCGACAGAUAUCCAUCAGCAGCUCCUGAGGGUGAUACUGCUGUACACUGCUCACAAAGUGCUAUGUUCAACCCAGCCAAGCAGAAACCGCACCCACCUAUUCUCGUGUAUUCCCAUUCAUUGUGCUGUGCCAAGCAAGCAGGUCGCCACAUCAUAAUCGUAAGUUCGCGCAUAAGUAUAUAACAGAGUAACCGCAAACAGCACAUUGAUUAGCGUGACCUUGGCGUGGUUCUUGGAGGAAUAAUUUGUUCUGAUUUAAAUUCGAGCGAGUAAAAAGGGAACCCAAAAACCUGAAUCGGGAGAUUGUCAAUCCAUUAACAUUUUAUUGCGUCCUGAUGGGGUAAAAAUAUACUAAUCAGUUUUUUUUGCUUAGUAGAUAUUUUACACAAUUAUGAUUUCUGGUUUGGAAUUCGCAAGCCUUACGCAGCUCAAAAUCCUGUUUUGUUGCUGAAUUGUCCCUCCCUUUACUGAUUUAUCUUUUGUUAAAAAAUAUGUAUGCCCCACAAGCUAAAUGCAAAUAGAAAAAAUGGAUCUAUAGUUGUUUUAUUCUCGAAUUCUGAGUUGACCUGAUAGGGUUCUUGGUUGAAAUUUCUCAAGGAGGCCGAAGUACCAAUUUCAAUAUUGAAGAAGGGUCCACAGAAGAUUUUCUUGGGGGGAGGGUCUACUUAAUUUCUCUGGGGUGCCACUUAUAGAAUCCUCUUACUAACGCCAAUAUAUACGUUUUCAAGUAACAAAAGUAGCGACAAGAUUUUAGUAUAUAAGCGGGGUAAAUGCGAUGACUUAUUCAGUGGAUAACUGACACUAAGGAAGAUUCCAGGGUUGUUACAACAGCGCGGAUUUCGGAAAUUUCGCGGAUUUUGCGAUUUUCGCGGAUUUGGCGCGAAUUUACCCAUGAAAUUUGGCCCUCGCGCGGAUUUGGCGCGGAAAUGAUUUUUGUAGUGGGUAAAGCGAUAAAAUUGAAAGAUUAUCGACACUUGAUAAUAAAAUUAUGAAAUGUGUUUGUUUAAAUUGCCAUGUUUGGAUGUUUUAAUGCAUUUAGCAUCACUGGUUGUCGGUACAUUAAUAGUUACUUAUGUAACGAGUUGCAAAAAGUUGAUUUUUUCAGCACGAGUCGUACAUUUAUCCAACGAGGCUUGCCGAGUUGGAUAAAUACGAAGAGUGCUGAAAAAAUCGAGUUUUGCAACAAGUUCCAUACAAAAUUUUAUGCAAUGAUUUUUUCAUAAUGCAA